UACGUAGGGGGCGAGCGUUGUCCGGAAUUAUUGGGCGUAAAGGGUACGCAGGCGGUUCUUUAAGUCUGAUGUGAAAUCUCACAGCUUAACUGUGAGCGGUCAUUGGAAACUGAGGAACUUGAGUAUAGAAGAGAAGAGUGGAAUUCCAAGUGUAGCGGUGAAAUGCGUAGAUAUUAGGAGGAACACCAGUUGCGAAGGCGGCUCUCUGGACUGUAACUGACACUGAGGCACGAAAGCGUGGGGAGCAAACAGGAUUAGAUA
rnacentral:rRNA from 1 species